rnacentral:rRNA from 1 species
UUGGACCUGAUAUCAGGCCAGGAUACCCGCUGAACUUAAGCAUAUCAUAAAAGGGGAAGGA